UCUCUGUUAGUAUAUCGGUUAGUACACGCGCCUGUCAUACUCCACGACCGCGCGAAAGCGGGGUUCGACUCCCCGACAGAGAG